rnacentral:rRNA from 1 species
GAUGAACGCUGGCGGCGUGCCUAAUACAUGCAAGUCGAGCGAACGGACGAGAAGCUUGCUUUUCUGAUGUUAGCGGCGGACGGGUGAGUAACACGUGGAUAACCUACCUAUAAGACUGGGAUAACUUCGGGAAACCGGAGAUAAUACCGGAUAAUAUUUUGAACCGCAUGGUUCAAAAGUGAAAGACGGUCUUGCUGUCACUUAUAGAUGGAUCCGCGCUGCAUUAGCUAGUUGGUAAGGUAACGGCUUACCAAGGCAACGAUGCAUAGCCGACCUGAGAGGGUGAUCGGCCACACUGGAACUGAGACACGGUCCAGACUCCUACGGGAGGCAGCAGUAGGGAAUCUUCCGCAAUGGGCGAAAGCCUGACGGAGCAACGCCGCGUGAGUGAUGAAGGUCUUCGGAUCGUAAAACUCUGUUAUUAGGGAAGAACAUAUGUGUAAGUAACUGUGCACAUCUUGACGGUACCUAACCAGAAAGCCACGGCUAACUACGUG